UUCAUUCCCAUCUAAAUAAAGACUUUGCUGUUCUUUUAGAGAUGGGGUCUUGACUCCUGUGCUGCACUGCCAUUGUCCAUGACCAUAGCUGUAAUCACUUGUGCUGGUUCCAAUGCACCUGUGUGAGAAGUAAGGCCUAUGAUUGUAAUGGAUUGCUAACUGAUGGUUGGCUUGUGAUCCCCAAAGGAACUGAGUACCUAGUAAUCAACUGUAAGGAUAUACUGUAAAUGGCUAUCUCAGAUUGUGUACCCUGGAAAGCAGAGCCUGA
rnacentral:lncRNA from 1 species